AAUGGCAGGGGCGAGCCUGAUGCAGCCAUGCCGCGUGUAUGAAGAAGGCCUUCGGGUUGUAAAGUACUUUCAGUUGUGAGGAAGGUUUCGUAGUUAAUAACUGCGUUGCUUGACGUUAGCAACAGAAGAAGCACCGGCUAACUCCGUGCCAGCAGCCGCGGUAAUACGGAGGGUGCGAGCGUUAAUCGGAAUUACUGGGCGUAAAGCGCAUGCAGGUGGUUUGUUAAGUCAGAUGUGAAAGCCCGAGGCUCAACCUCGGAACUGCAUUUGAAACUGGCAGGCUAGAGUACUGUAGAGGGGGGUAGAAUUUCAGGUGUAGCGGUGAAAUGCGUAGAGAUCUGAAGGAAUACCAGUGGCGAAGGCGGCCCCCUGGACAGAUACUGACACUCAGAUGCGAAAG
rnacentral:rRNA from 1 species